rnacentral:tRNA from 1 species
UCGGUAGCUCAGUUGGUUAGAGCGCAAGCCUGUCACGCUUGAGGUCGAGGGUUCGAGCCCCUUCCG